AUUGAACGCUGGCGGCAUGCCUUACACAUGCAAGUCGAACGGUAACGCGGGGUAACCUGGCGACGAGUGGCGAACGGGUGAGUAAUGCAUCGGAACGUGCCCGGUAGUGGGGGAUAACUGCUCGAAAGAGCAGCUAAUACCGCAUACGACCUGAGGGUGAAAGGGGGGGAUCGCAAGACCUCUCGCUAUCGGAGCGGCCGAUGUCGGAUUAGCUAGUUGGUGGGGUAAAGGCCUACCAAGGCGACGAUCCGUAGCUGGUCUGAGAGGACGACCAGCCACACUGGGACUGAGACACGGCCCAGACUCCUACGGGAGGCAGCAGUGGGGAAUUUUGGACAAUGGACGCAAGUCUGAUCCAGCCAUGCCGCGUGCGGGAAGAAGGCCUUCGGGUUGUAAACCGCUUUUGUCAGGGAAGAAAUCUUCUGAGUUAAUACCUCGGGAGGAUGACGGUACCUGAAGAAUAAGCACCGGCUAACUACGUGCCAGCCGCCGCCGUAAGAC
rnacentral:rRNA from 1 species